GACGAACGCUGGCGGCGUGCUUAACACAUGCAAGUCGAACGAUGAACCCGGAGCUUGCUCCGGCGGAUUAGUGGCGAACGGGUGAGUAACACGUGAGUAACCUGCCCUUGACUCUGGGAUAACUGCUAGAAAUGGUAGCUAAUACCGGAUACGACCCUCGGCGGCAUCGCCAGGGUGGGGAAAGAAUUUCGGUCAAGGAUGGACUCGCGGCCUAUCAGCUAGUUGGUGAGGUAACGGCUCACCAAGGCGACGACGGGUAGCCGGCCUGAGAGGGUGACCGGCCACACUGGGACUGAGACACGGCCCAGACUCCUACGGGAGGCAGCAGUGGGGAAUAUUGCACAAUGGGCGCAAGCCUGAUGCAGCAACGCCGCGUGAGGGAUGACGGCCUUCGGGUUGUAAACCUCUUUUAGUAGGGAAGAAGCGAAAGUGACGGUACCUGCAGAAAAAGCACCGGCUAACUACGUGCCAGCCGCCGCGGUAA
rnacentral:rRNA from 1 species